GCCGGGGUGGCGGAAUGGCAGACGCAGGGGGCUUAAAACCCCCGGGGCUUCGGCCCUUGUGGGUUCGACUCCCACCCCCGGCA
rnacentral:tRNA from 1 species